AGUAAAAUGGCCGAGGUUGAGGCGAUAAAUUGUAAAUUUAUUCACGAAUUUUAUUCUUUUACU
rnacentral:tRNA from 1 species